CAUUACCUGCCCCGCCCUUUUGCGUCGCGAACGUUCCCUCUCCCGCUGUCCCGCAUGGAGUUUCCGAGUCUUCUCGGGAAGCCCUGCGUCUUCUUCUUCCUCGACGAACCAGGAAAGGAGCAGCCUGUCUCUCAGUGUAUGGGAAUGAUUUUAACCCUUAUUGGAGAAUGAUAUUGCCCUUUUCCUAUGCCAUUGUGUCUGGUGCAAUCUGAUCCUGCUCAGUUUUAUUUGCAAAUUCACUGAAUUACCUUGUUGGCGCCUGACGAUGUUAAAGGUGAUGAAACGAAAGAUUCUUAUUCUUUAAUUUCUUCAUUUGCUCAAAGUAUUGCUCCUGAUGUAAACUGAUUGAUGCAGUUUAAAUGGCAGUGUAUCAUUUCUUCAUAACAGUGGCGCCAUUUGACUGAGAUAUUUCCCUUCCUCCCUCUGUCACUUCAGUUCAGAGGAUCAUAAAAGAUGCUCAGGCCGUGUGACAUGACUGGUGUGGAUGGCCAGGCAGCCAAUGGACAAAGUUGAGCAGGGCUGUUGACCAAAAUCUGGCUGUUUAUGAGGAAGUGGACAAAUGUUUGUCUCCAUAGCCACGCCAACGAAGUAGUACCUUAGCAUUGAAAGGCCAGGUGUGGAAAUGAUCUAGCAAUCAAUCUCAUUUUCUGAAGGAAAAUUUACAUGCA